GAUGAAGAACGUAGUGAAAUGCGAUACGUAAUGUGAAUUGCAGAAUUCAGUGAAUCAUCGAGUCUUUGAACGCACAUUGCGCCCCCUGGUAUUCCGGGGGGCAUGCCUGUCCGAGCGUCAUUGCUGCCCUCAAGCACGGCUUGUGUGUUGGGCCCCGCCCCCCGAUCCCGGGGGGCGGGCCCGAAAGGCAGCGGCGGCACCGCGUCCGGUCCUCGAGCGUAUGGGGCUUUGUCACCCGCUCUGUAGGCCCGGCCGGCGCUUGCCGAUCAACCAAACUUUUUUCCAGGUUGACCUCGGAUCAGGUAGGGAUACCCGCUGAACUUAAGCAUAUCAAGCGGAGGA
rnacentral:misc_RNA from 1 species